AGUGAACGCUGGCGGUAGGCCUAACACAUGCAAGUCGAACGGCAGCACAGGAGAGCUUGCUCUCUGGGUGGCGAGUGGCGGACGGGUGAGGAAUACAUCGGAAUCUACUUUUUCGUGGGGGAUAACGUAGGGAAACUUACGCUAAUACCGCAUACGACCUACGGGUGAAAGCAGGGGAUCUUCGGACCUUGCGCGAUUGAAUGAGCCGAUGUCGGAUUAGCUAGUUGGCGGGGUAAAGGCCCACCAAGGCGACGAUCCGUAGCUGGUCUGGGAGGAUGGUCAGCCACACUAGAACUGAGACACGGUCCAGACUCCUACGGGAGGCAGCAGUGGGGAAUAUUGGACAAUGGGCGCAAGCCUGAUCCAGCCAUACCGCGUGGGUGAAGAAGGCCUUCGGGGUGUAAAGCCCUUUUGUAGGGAAAGAAAUCCAGCUGGUUAAUACCCGGUUGGGAUGACGGUACCCAAAGAAUAAGCACCGGCUAACUUCGUGCCAGCCGCCGCAGUAA
rnacentral:rRNA from 1 species